GAGUUUGAUCAUGGCUCAGGACAAACGCUGGCGGCGUGCUUAACACAUGCAAGUCGAACGAUGGAACGGAACGGAAAUUUUCGGAUGGAAGUUCUGUGGAUUAGUGGCGGACGGGUGAGUAAUGCAUGAAGAACCUGCCUUUCACAUAGGAAUAGCCUCGGGAAACCGGGAUUAAUACCAAAUGACACUCCGAGAUCGCAUGUUUUUGGGGUUAAAGAUUUUAUCGGUGAAAGAUGGCUUCAUGUCCCAUUAGCUGGUUGGUGAGGUAACGGCUCACCAAGGCGACGAUGGGUAGCCGGCCUGAGAGGGUGAACGGCCACAUUGGAACUGAGACACGGUCCAAACUCCUACGGGAGGCGGCAGUGGGGAAUAUUGCACAAUGGAGGAAACUCUGAUGCAGCGACGCCGCGUGAGCGAUGAAGGUCUUCGGAUCGUAAAGCUCUGUCCUAAGGGACGAUAAUGACG
rnacentral:rRNA from 1 species